AAUUACUUUUAAAUGCCUUGAAAGCAUAAAAUAGAAUUAUUCUAGUAAUUU
rnacentral:tRNA from 1 species